GCGUAUAACUGGUCGAAGUAUUGCAGGCGCACGACUCGCAAGCAACAGAGUGCUGUGUACAUCUCCGCCUACGUAUUAUUAUUUGUCUGUCUCAUAACCACGCUUUUUGUUGAUCGUGAUCAACCACGAGUUUUAAACAGUUUCGAAUAAUGAAUUCAUCAUUUGUAAAAGACGUAUUGUGGCUUGUUGACAAAACGACGUAAGAAGGCUUUAAUGCAAUACGAAGGCAAGCAUGAUUCUGGCAGGAUCAGACCAUUUUCUGGCGGUACCGGUAGAAGCAACAGCAUUUUUGGGUGCUGUUGCUGGUUUUGUGGUUCUUCUGUUGGCUCUUUUCCUGUACCUAUCACGCAAAUGGUGCUUUACUCCGCCGUCCACAACCACACUUUUCGGCGGCGUUUGCGUGCCUCUUUGCGAAUCUAAUAAUGGCUCGACUUCUCAAAUUACAAAGAACAUAGGAAAAGCAUUUUCCUAUUCGGAUCCAGAGACUAGUUCCGAUUCGGAAGAAGAUGUCCGUCGAUUGAAUUCUCAUUCUCAUCCACCGCCGGAUACUUUAACUAUCCAAGCAGAGGAUGGACCGACUAUCUUGGAUGCUGGCACCACUUCUAGCAGCUGCACAGAAGAACACUCGUCCAAUGAUCAACAACAAUGCGUGGUAGAAGUGGGAGCUUCCGGUCUUGACAGUAGAGAACAAGAAGUAGAAGUGGAGCAAAAUGGUUCAACUACUAACGAUGUUAUUACAACAAUGGGUACUAUCACCGAAGAAGUGGGUAGCUUGGAAGUCGCUUUUCUAUAUGAUGCACCGAUGCGCGAGAUGACAGUUCAUGUAUUGCAAGGCCGAAAUUAUCCUGAAGGUAUAGGCGGCAGUCAAGUUCGACUAGUAUUAUUACCAUCGAAGAAACAACGACGCAAAACUCGGGUGCGUCAAGGUACAUCUCCACAAUACAUGGAGAGUUUUUUACUUCCACGAGUAAAUCCGGAGGAUGUAAAUGCCAUGGGUGUACGCUUAAGAGUAUAUUUAUGGGGCGGAAGAAUGCGUAGAGAAAGAUUGUUAGGCGAAGCGAGAGUCUCUUUCGAUCAAAUUAAUCUUCAGCUUGAAACUACACUUUGGUUAACGCUACAACCUCCACCUUUUUCUUCGGUACAAGAUUGGGGAACAACUAGUAGUUUGACUCGCAGCGAUUCGACAGGAUCACAACAAUCAGUUCAAUCAUAUGCAUCACCUACUGCACGUGUGCCAACUUAUGCAUCGCAUACUAUACCUCCUUAUGGCAGUAGUAUGAAGGGUGGAAGUGUAGCGGAGAUUUUAAUAGGUUUGGCUUAUAAUGGAACGACUGGACGUUUAUCGGUAGAGAUAAUCAAAGGAUCUCAUUUUCGUGGUGGUGGUGGGAAUGACACGAAACCACCUGAUACAUAUGUUAAGCUUGCUCUUGUAGAUAGUAAUGGUCAUGAAAUGGAACGAUCAAAAACUGGUUUGAAACGUGCUCAGCCGAAUCCUCUUUAUAAGGAAACAUUUAUAUUUCAAGUUGCACUAUUCCAACUUGGAGAUGUAACACUCUUUUUAUCGGUUUAUAAUCGACGAAGAGGUGGAAUGGGAAGAAAAGGAAGAGAAAUGAUUGGUUGGCUCAGUUUAGGAUUAAACAGUUCCGGUUCGGAGGAGCUUCAACAUUGGAAUGAUAUGCGUGCAGCAAGGCAACCGACGCAAGUUCAACGUUGGCACUCGUUGCUACGUCCUUGAAAUAUACGAUCACGAAAGAAUUUUUAUUACAAAACAACAUUCCAUGUUAACGAUAACGAUAUGGUUUGAUCAAUGGAACACAGUACAGAUCACGGUUACUCUUGUACACCGUGAUGACUGAUCGUGUAGCAAAGCAACUGAAUUUUUCAAGAUGAAUGCGGCUGCGCUCUAUUGGAUGCCGUUUGUACUGCCCGAACAGAACAAAGAAGUCAAUAUAUUGAUCUGUUGAUCCUGUGAAUCAGAGCUGUCAUAAUUUAGCAUGUGGUAACUCUGAAUUCAAAACUCUAUCGAUGUACCAAGUACAUUCCUUUUUGAUACGCUGGACGGAGUUGAGGGUGUUUCCAACAUACAUAUUACGCCGCGUGUCCAUCGACGGAGAAUCGUCGUGGGAUACCCAGCCGAGUCGAGAGCCCAUUAUGAACCGCGAUCCUCUAGUCGUUCUCUUUUGGACGAGUUAAAUUAAACUAACGUAACUUUUUCUCUCUCGACUCCGCGAUAUUUUCAACGGAAUAUUCGAUUUACAGUGCUUAUUUGUUCGAUACAUUCGAUAUUACAAAUCUUGGCGUUUUGAUCAUAUGGUUCGAGAAUGGAUUGAUAUGCAAAAAGAAUUAAUACCUUGUUGCAUUUGUUUGAUUUUCGACUAUUACUCUUUGUGUGAAAUAGAAAACAAUUCCUAAAUAAAUAAAUAGAUUAUAUUAAUUUCUUAUAUA
rnacentral:misc_RNA from 1 species